rnacentral:lncRNA from 1 species
CCUAAUCAGAUGCGAAUGGCGUCAGCAUAAAAUAGAUAGCCUGAACUUUCAGGACUUCGAUUUUACUACCACGGAGGAGUCGAGGAAGUUGGUGAGCGAGGAGUCGAGGACGAGUGGAGUUUAGGGUUUCUGUGCGACUGUGCGUCCGGGGGAGAGGGGGUUCGAAGUUCGAAGUUCGGGCCACCGAACGAAAUGAACAGAGAGGGAGCGCUUGAGAGAGAGAGAGAGAGAGAGAGAGAGAGAGAGAGAGAGANCGAGGAAGUUGGUGAGCGAGGAGUCGAGGACGAGUGGAGUUUAGGGUUUCUGUGCGACUGUGCGUCCGGGGGAGGGGGGGUUCGAAGUUCGAAGUUCGGGCCACCGAACGAAAUGAACAGAGAGGGAGCGCUUGAGAGAGAGAGAGAGAGGAAGCCCUAGAUAUCGCCACCACGGCACCACGUCCUCUUUGUCCUCGUCGUCCUCCUCGCGAGAGAGCGGGCGCCGGCGUAGAAAGUGGGCUGAGCGUGGUGAGAGAAAGCGGAUCGGCUGAGAGAGGGGAGAGAUGAGGGGAGGCCGGGAGAGAGAGAGAGAGAAACAGAGAUGACCGGGGCUUUUUUCUAGUUUCGUCGGGCGGUCUCGGCGGAUCCGCCGCCUUUUUUCAUUUUCUUUUUUUUUUUUUUACAUUUAGCUCUCUCAAAAAUAAAAAUAAUAAUAAUAAAUAGUCCUACGAAAUUUAUAUUUACAGGAUUGGUCCUAUUCCCGCCACGUAAGCACCACGCGACCGUAGAUGGCUUCGUAAGUUAAGUUUGAACAUGGCGAACCAUUCACCUUAUUUGGAUACGAUAAAAUGAUUCAUUGUGUUUCAUUAUUUUCCUAUUAUGGUAUUACAUAAUUUUUGGAGUUUAGAAUUUAGAAAGGACACGAUGAAUCAUUCAACAUAUCCAAACCAUAGUUAGUUAAUUCGGAUUCGGCAAAAAUUCGGUACAAUUCGGAUAGAAUUCGUCUAUUAAUUUUUAAAUUCGUUGAAAUAUACGGUUAAAAAACGGAUUCGUCAAUUAUUCAGAUACGUGAUUUAUACGGAUAUUAUACGUUCACUAAUUAAAAAUUCGGGAUCAAAAAUUCGGCUAUUAAAUUAUUUUUUUUUUCUCAAGUUUUAUGCAAUUAGUAUAAAUACUCAUAAUUCUUAAGAAUAUAAGAAUAAAAAGCUACAAAAUUAAGUUAAUUAAGUAAAAAAUUAGCAAACUGUAUUAUGUUCCAAAAUAAAUAUAUAAUUAAGCAAAUAGCAAACUCAAAUCUGUAUCUCCAUAUUGCUAUUUCUCCAAAUUUAUCGGAAAUUCCCAGUAUUGCCAAUUAACACCCAUGUACCUUUGUUAAGUUUGCUAGAUCUCCCUUGGUUUUUAAUCAAUGCAUAUGCUUGUGACUUUCAAACCUGCUGAGCAUAUCAAACCUUUUGAGGACUUAAUUCUUAAAACCUUAUUUGCUGAUUAUUCUUGUAUGCUGGGCAUAUUCAUGUAUACUGUAGAGAUUAAAGAUAAAAAGGAAGUAAUGAAUCUUAACAAAUGCAUGUUUACAAUGAUGCUACAUGUUGUAGUCAUGGUCUUGUUACUGAUCAAAACCAUACAGUUAGUAAUUAAGAGAAGAUGAAAUAAAGGAAAGAAAGAGAGAGAGAAACUAAAGCAUAAAAAUUCUUGUAAAGAACAACCCAAUUACUGAUCCAUUGUUUGGAGAGCGGAGGCGGAAGCGGAAGAGGAAGAGGCGACGAGGAGGGUUCUGAUUUCUGAAGAAUGAAGAACCCGAUCUUCGAUGUGGCCACGCGGGGGCUUCCGAUGGCUCGAAGGGAAGAGGAGGAAGGGAAGGGAAGAGGAGGAAGGGAAGGGAUGGGGCUGGGGUCGGCAGCAGGGCGGCAGGGGUGAAGUGUUAGGGCAAAGGGCAAAACCC